rnacentral:rRNA from 1 species
GGAAGCGAAGGAAACCAGUGCCCAGCCUGUCAUAUUUCUCUGUUCGCUUGCGGGCAGAGCGCUGUGGCAGGCGACGGUCAGGAUCCUUUGUCCCGGCUGUAAUUAACAGUUGGGAUGAAGGAUGCUGACAAAAUGGUUUUCUUUGCCCCGUCUUGAAACACGGACCAAGGAGUCUAACAUAUUUGCGAGUACAGAGGUGUUAAACCUCCGUGCGUAGUGAAGGCGAUAGUGGUUGUAUCUCUAUUGCCCAAUCCACCGGCCACAAUCCCUCGGGAGAACGGUCU